ACUUUCUUUACCAAUCUGACUUCAGGAACUACUAAAUAUUUAAACAAAACACAUAAUGAAGGUGAGAUGAAAAUCAGAGAAAAGAAGAAACGUAUUACUGGGUUUGAGGAGAAUGCUAUGUAUGUCCUGUAUAUUUGAAAUUACCCUUGAUUACUUAUCAGCCAUUGGUGCUCCAAGAGUCUUCAUAGUAAGGGCAAUGGAGAGAAUACGACAUGUCAGCAAAAACCGCAUCAGAAGUAGUAAAACUGCCCAGCUUGUUCAGUCAUGAACUUAGUAGGAAGAAGUGAACGAGCAAUUUUAUAGAAGUCUGCAUUCAUCAUAGCAAUCUCUGCAUCAGAUGGCACAAAUACAAAAAAAACAGGAAGAUCAUCUGGAAAGCAUUUUCUUGAGAACUCAGGGAACCUGGAGGAUUAAUAACAGUUCUCUUGGGAGCCUUCACACUGAUCUGAUACCUUUGCCUGUGCACUCUAAUAGGAAAAGAGUUGGGACAGCUGUCUUUCUUCUCUCACAGGUGAUGGUGGUGGUUGUUGUUGUUGCUGUAAUUGCUUAGAGGUCAAGAAAUAGUAGCUGUGUAGGACAGAACAAGGACAUAUAGAGGCUCUUCUUUCCAGAACCCCAGAGACUUUUUGGGGAAAGUGAUGUCUUCUGAUGCUUUGUUACCUUUCCAGAU